GAAAGAGGUUGAACAACAGAAAACAGAGCUGUUCUUAUCUCACUCUCUGCUCUGUUUCUCUUUCCAUAUAUCUAUACAUUCCACGAGGAGCUCUGUUUUCUGGAUAAUCUUGUUGCCUCUCCUCCUCUUCUCAUUUGAAAGCCAUGGCCAGCAUCACAUCCAUAUUCUCUUCUUCUUCCUCCCCCUUCAUUGCUAUAUUGCUGCUUGUCACUAUUUCUGAUUCUUGUCUGCAAAUUCGAGGCGCAGAGUUUGGAAUAAACUACGGACAAAUAGCCAACAAUCUCCCUUCCCCUUCUCGUGUGGCUGGUCUCAUAAAAUCCCUCAACGUCAGCAGAAUCAAGCUCUACGAUGCCGAUCCAAACGUUCUAGCUGCCUUCUCCAAUUCUGAUGUCGAGUUUGUCAUAGGACUAGGAAACGAGGAUCUCGAGAACAUGAGGGACUUGUCAAAAGCACAAUCCUGGAUUCAACAAAAUGUUCAACCAUACCUCUCACAGACCAAAAUCUCCAGCAUUACCGUAGGAAACGAGGUUUUCACCAACAACGACACACAACUGAACCAAAAUCUCGUCCCUGCAAUGCAAACAGUGUACCACGCCCUUGUCAAUCUUGGGUUGGAUCAACAAGUUGCUGUCACAAGUGCUCAUUCUUUCAAUAUUUUAUCUAAUUCUUACCCUCCUUCGUCUGGUGCUUUUAGGGAAGAUUUGAUACCAUAUAUCCAACCCCUUUUGAGUUUUCAUGCUCAAGUGAAAUCCCCUUUUCUGAUUAAUGCAUAUCCUUUUUUUGCCUACAAGGGAAGUCCCAACGAUAUUUCAUUAAACUAUGUAUUAUUUCAGCCAAACUCAGGAAUGGUUGAUCCAAACACGAAUCUUCAUUAUGAUAACAUGCUUUAUGCUCAGAUUGACGCUGUGUAUGCAGCGAUCAAAGCAUUGGGUCACAGUGAUGUUGAGGUUAAGAUUUCUGAGACAGGCUGGCCUUCCAAGGGUGAUGCUGAUGAAGUAGGAGCUUCGCUUGAAAAUGCAAUGUUGUACAAUGGGAAUUUGUUGAAGAGGAUAGAGAUGAACCAAGGGACUCCCGCGAAACCUUCGGUUCCUAUUGAUAUCUACGUGUUUGCACUUUUCAACGAAAAUAUGAAGCCUGGUCCUGCUUCUGAGAGGAACUAUGGUCUCUAUUAUCCUGAUGGUACUCCUGUUUAUGACGUUGGAUUACAAGGUCGUUUACCAGAGAUGGUCGUUCAAUCUGCAUCCAAGUCCGACGCCUUGUUCGUGGGUUUUCUUGUCUAUGUCUUUACAUGCUUGGUUUCUGUUUUUGAGAUUUCAAGGUCGUGAUCACCAGUAGGGAGAGAUCAAAGGAAGCAGAGGAAUCGUUUUGCAAGAGGAAGCCAUGCAAGGAAGACCAAAAGUGAUACAACUUUUUUUGGUCGGCAUAGAUCCCUUUGCUUUCAGGCUGACAGCUACGCCACCAAUCCAUUCUUGUCGCCUAAACCCAUUAUUCAUAUUUCAUACACUUCAAUUAACAGAUUUAAUACCAUAACAGAGCCAAUAAAGAUGCAGAUGUGAACAAUUAGCUCUUGAAGCGAUUCUUUUAUAGAAAGUUAUAGAUCACGUCCUCUUCUUGUUCUUUUUUCCCAUUUUUCUUUUCUCACAGAUAGUUAGGGAUUAAAUAUUAUUACUGUUAGUCGAUUGUAACAUUAUUGGUUUGACUGUGUUUUGAUAAGAAGGUAGAAAGAUUUGUUGGAUUUUCAGAUGUUAUGUGUACCAGAGACUUCGUCUUCGUGUGCAUUUUGUAAAGAGCGAUUAUUCUGCUGAA